rnacentral:lncRNA from 1 species
UGAAAUUCAAUUGAAUUAUGAUGAUUAAUAUAGUUGGUGCAAACCAUCGGUUGGGACCUUCCUCAGUGUUUGCACUGGGGAGAGAUUCCAGCAGUGAGAACGAGAGAGAACCACAUCACACACAACCCUUUAAAGUAAGAAUUUACAAACCAUUUUCUAAGAACAUAAUAUAGAAUACAUUUCAGGACUUGAAUUUUUAGCCUUUUACAGACUGAUGCUUAUGGUAGACCAAGACUAGUUCAUAUUUUGGGGAGCUCAAGUUGUAUAAAUCAAAAGAAAUAGCAGAUAGUUCAUUAGUCAUACCAUCUAAUGCAUCAUCAAUCUAAAUCUAACCACCGAAUGCCUUCCACACAGCAAAUGCUUUGCAUGAUUUGAAGAAGGUGAAACUUGUGACAUUGUCUGUUGAAUUCUCAAUGCAUGCCUCUAGUCUUACAUUGUGAAGGCAAAAGGGCUUUAUGUGAUCCAACAAAGGGCUCAUGUAAAAGUUAAAGACUGUAAAAGAAAAUGGAGAAAUUAUACACAUUUGAAUGCAAGUUUAUAAAAGAUAUUUAUAAUAGUUUACAUUCUAGAGGAUUUGGUCUCCAAUAAAAAUAGAGAGUGAAGUACGAUCUACAUGAUUGUGUUUGCAUCUUUUUUUAAGCCAUCGUUAAGAGAUUGGAUGUAGUCUUCAGCAAGGCAAAGAAAGCCAUAAAUUUCUAUAUACUGUAUUUAAUUUGCGGUGCUUAAGUAGCGUGUAUGCAAAAGAGAUAAAAAAAUUAAGAAAACACUUUGAUGCUUUCUAAUCUAAAUGAACUCAUACAUGGAUUUUCUUCUGAAGAUAAUGACUUAAUUAAGUCAUGAAACACAUGCCAUCUUCCAAUAACUAAUUCAAAUAAAGUAGGAGUCAUCAUCCAACCAAACUAUUUCACAACCCAGUUAAUAAGCAAUUUUGCUGAGAGAUGCACAAUCUGAUUCCCACCUUUCAUCAUAUGCACAAUGCUACAACUCCUAAAUCUUCUCUGCAAGAGCUUAAAAAACUCAUUUGUGAAAUCAUCCAUUUGAGGGAAUCAACUUCCAUGUUUAUCAAUGAGGUGGCUCGUUACUGUUUUUCUCAAAAAAAAAAAAAUCAUAAUUACUCAAGGUAUAUAUGCAUGGUAGUAGUGAAAUCCUCAAAGUGUAAUCCAAGAUAUUGAUAACCAAUGGAAAGAAAAAAAAGUAUCGCUAUAUUUGUACUUUUAGUCUUUUAAAAAAACUUCUACCUAAUUUUUUGCCCUGCUAACAUUUCCUUAAUGCUAUGUGAACUUGUGUUCUGCAGAGGCUUCCCAUUUUGGUUGCAUGAUGUUCCAGGAAUUGUUUUUCGGUCUGACAAUGAACCAUUCAAGGUACAUGACUGCACGAAAUCCAUGAAUUCUACCAGUCCCUUCACACCAUAGGCAACUAUUUGGAGUUUAAAAUUUGCUGCUUUACCUACUCGCUCUCUCUCUCUCACACACACACCCCCCACACCCCCCCCCCCUCCCCCAUCAGACCAUUGCUCAUACUAAAUCUAUUCAUUAACUAGAUUUUCAAAUAAGGCUCAUCGCAAAUAUCUCUCAGAUACAUUGCUCAGAAAAUGUCUCUCAACUAUGCAUUCAGACACCAAACAGAGUGAACCUUUCCUCAGAAAACUUGGAAAUAGAAAUGUGCAUAAAAAUAUAAUACAUAAAAAUAUUCCUUUCAAAAGAGACCCUUUCCAUUUUUUGGAGGAAAAAAAGAAAAGAAAAGAAAGCUGUUGUGACUUUGAAUAACACUCUAUUAAGAAACUCUAUUCUUAUUACAGUAAUCGAGGUUAUAUAUCAAUGAUUAAUAUUAAUGUAACUGAUCAUAAAAGAAAAAAAAUCAUGUACAAUGUCUUCAGAGCACUUUGCUUGUGUUGGCUAAUUCUGCUGCUUAAGUUGGCUGGUUCACAUGCAGUUCUACAUGAAAAGAUUUGUGGAAAACAUAGUGAAUUUGAUGAAGUUUGAGAAAUUGUAUUAUCCUCAAGGAGGUCCGAUCAUAGUUUCUCAGGUGACACAUGUUGACUAAAACUCUUUUUAUCAUUAUGGCUAUAUAAUGUCAUGCGAGACUCACUUAAACAAAAUGAUAUGCAUAAUAUAACAUGCAGAUCGAGAAUGAGUACCAAAUGGUGGAGCCUGCAUUUCAUGAGAGAGGACCUCCUUAUGUUCGCUGGGCAGCAUCUAUGGCUGUGGGUUUACAAACUGGGGUCCCAUGGAUGAUGUGCAAGCAAGAUGAUGCUCCUGAUCCAGUGGUCCGCAUUCUUAGUUCAUAUCUAGACUCAUGACUCCUGUGAAAAUUGCAAGUUAAUACUGUAACAAUCAAAUGGUUGAAACUUCAUGCGCAGAUAAAUACCUGCAAUGGAUUGAAAUGUGGAGAGACAUUUGCAGGGCCAAAUUCACCUACAAAGCCAUCACUUUGGACAGAAAAUUGGACCCAAAGGUAUGCUUUCAACAAAACACACCUAUCAUUGGUCUCCUUAUUUUGUAUUCUCAAUGCUCUCAAAAUUCAGAUGAUCACUUUCUGGUACACUUCAUAUCUUAAACAUUCAAUUUGAUUAUAUAAGACAAAUGCCUUAUGGUAGAGCUAUGCAACUGAACUAAUUCGUCAAAAAAAAAAAGCAUCAGCCAUUUUAUCUGGUUUCUAUAUCUGUCCAUGUUCAUAUAAACUGAACAUAAUGCUAGUAUUUCCAUAUUGUAUUUAAAAGUGAGAUUUUUUUAUUUUUAUUGUUUUCACUAUUCCACCAAGAUUCCAUUUAUCACUCUCUUCCCGAAAUAACCUUGAUAGCAAGAGGGAAAAGACCCUUGCACAGUCUUUCUUGUCUCUUCCUCUCCUUGUCUCACAAACACUCAAUAUUAGUAGAAUACAGGAAAUACAAUUCCCACACUUUGGUUCUUAUGAAGAUGUCUCAUUCUCUUGUUGUAUCAUAAAAAAUAGUAAAGAUCCAUCUCACAGUUUUGGUUCUUUUGAAAGCCUUAACUAGUUGUUGAUAUAAGAUGAGGGUCAAUUUUUCCAGCUAGGCUAGUGGCUAGCAUCUUAGUAAUGUCACUGUUAUAUUGGACAACAUAAUGGCGGCUUAUGUGAACUCAUGUCAUAUGUCCUACAAUGUUUUGUUGAUGUCUGUCCUCCAAGAAGAUUAAUGGAUG